CUGGAAUAAGUCAGAUUUUACUUUAAAACUUGAUGUUAUACUGUAGCCUAAAUUAUAAUUUCGACAUGUAGAGCACAGUGGAGUCACAAUCACAAAGUCCGCAUAAAAGUACCGGCCGGCAACACGCAGCCAGUAAUCCAACAUAUCUCGUUAAAAGGCGUCUUCCUCAUUCGCCUCGUUCCUAGAGCUAGAAGGAGAUGACGCGAAAACAACUUAUCUGGCCCUGUUAGGAAUAUGCAUGUGUGCGUGUAUCUGUAAAUAAGGAAGGUCAAGCGGAUGAAACGGACUUAGUAUGUAGCUAUGGUGACCACCCAGCCUUCGGCCCUAGAUUAAGUCUGUACGCACACAUGUAUAAUGUGCUGACUAUAAUUUUAAGAACUUAGGUAGAUAAGUCGCCCCACCGGAGAUGUCGCGCCGAGAUGGGUCAGACAGUAGAUUAGUUUUUUUACAAUUAAAAGUACCUCAGAAUCGGUAACACGCUUUUAAUUUGUCUCCCGAAAUUCCUUAGUAGUAAUACUUAGUAAUUUCAAUAGUUUCCCCGCUCCGGAAACAAGAGUGGCGCAGCCGGUAGGAUUUCGCUGUUAUAUUCCUAAAUUCUUCGCGGUUUUAAAUUCGUCGCGUGUCUCGAGGACGAGCUGCACGAUAGCUGUGGGAAUUUAAGGACGAGUGAAAUCCGACGAACCAAAUAAAUUACUCUUGGUGCGUGUGGGCAAACAAAGGAAUACCAAGGAUGAGAGUAGCAGCUGGCUGGUGCGGCAUAUUAUUGAUGACAGUCACGAUGCUGUCGCUGGCCCUUCAUCUGCAAAAUCUUGAAGGUAAUCCAGGAGUUUUACCGGUGAAACAAGGUCAUGCAUAUUUCCAAACUGAUCAGUGGACUAUUGUAAAGAUCAUCAGCCUAGAUCAAAUUUAUACUGACCUUAACUACAUCUCUACCAACUAUCAAGCGCUUUGUAAUUUAAUUGAUUGGAAUGCAUCAUACUCACAAGAAAUUAUGACUAUUAAAAUGCAUACAGAUUCCAUACGUGAUUUAACUGUAGAAAAAUACCAACAGCUUAUACCAUCCAAACGAUCUAAACGAGGACUCAUUAAUCCACUGGGCUCUAUUAUAAAAUUGUUACCGGUAAUUUGGAUCAUGAUGAUGCGUUGAAGUAUGAUAAUCUCAUUUCUAAAUUGAAUCAAGGUCAAAUCACUAUAUCUAAAAGGUUAACAUUGGUCUCUAAAAUGUUUGACAGUUUUAUUAAUGCCACUGAAACUAUUGAACAGAAUACAAUUAACUUCCAUAACAGGUUAACUAAAAUUGAAACAUUAAUUAAAGAUUUAACUGCUCAGCAAAAUAGUUGGAUUUUUCUGACGUACUUAACUGGGUUGUUCAAUGUUUUCAUGAGUAACUUUCGUACUAUAUUUAUUAGAUUAAGUGAAAUCGAAACUGCACUUGCAUUAAGCAGAGUCUCUAUUUUACAUCAAUCAAUUGUUAAUUCUUCAGAACUUUUAUAUCAUCUUAAAUUAAUAUCCGAAUAUGAAAGCUUAAUAUAUCCUCCCGCCGAAGCGAACUUGUUAAAAAUAGAAGAGAUUAUAUGUGUUAAAUCAUUUAUUAAAAGUAAUCAAAUAACGUUUAUAAUGGAGAUACCACUUACCGAUAAUGUUACUUAUAACUAUUAUAAGAUUUACUCCUACCAAUUUUCCAUGACACCGAAAAUAAGACCCUAGCUAUUUUCCCCAAAUACCCUUACCUAUUGGCGAAAGAAAAUAGAUACUCACCAAUCGCAAUACCGUGUAGACCAUUCUCUGCCGGUGCUCGCUUCCUCUGCACUGCAGACAACAGGAUCCCCUUCUAUGAACUUACCUGUGUCGAACAGCUUAUGAAUUUCGAAAACGACCUUACCCUUUGCAAACAACAUCCAAUAGAAAUCGAACAGGUCAGAGUCCAACAAGUCGCUAACAACAACUGGAUCCUGUAUAGUGAAGAGAAGACCACACUAACAGAACGAUGCAAGGAUGAGACCAGUAGACAAUUGGUAUUUGGUACUUACCUGAUGACCAUCGAAGAACCCUGUGAGGUGGAGAUUCAUGGCAUACACAUUAAUCAUCGUAUCUUCAUAGAGUCCGAUGUGGUGAAAAGAGUACCAAUCAUCGCCUUACCUCAGUUACGCACUAACGCACAGCUAUCCAGUACACGUGCACUUGAUAUGAAGGGCAUAAAUCUAGACGAAGUGAAAUAUAUGGCGUAUUCGUUAAAACAUAGUGAAGUGAUCGAAAGUGUUUUUGAUAAAAGGGACAGUAGCUUCAGUGCGUCCUUGGUGUACGUGACCUUAGGUUUAGUUAUUUUAAGUAUUUUUGUAUUUUCCGUUUAUGUUGUUCGGCUCAAAUUGCUGAAAUACACGUGUUUCAAGAAAAAUUAUCGGAACCAAUCUAAAAUCGAUUCUCCCGAUAAUUUUCCUCUUAAGGUCGGAGGAGCUAUGGUGACCACCCAGCCUUCGGCCCUAGAUUAAGUCUGUACGCACACAUGUAUAAUGUGCUGACUAUAAUUUUAAGAACUUAGGUAGAUAAGUCGCCCCACCGGAGAUGUCGCGCCGAGAUGGGUCAGACAGUAGAUUAGUUUUUUUACAAUUAAAAGUACCUCAGAAUCGGUAA